AAUCUGCUCAAUGAACAUUAAAUAGCCGCGGUACCCCGUGCUAAGGUAGCAUAAUCAUUUGCCUUUUAAUAGAAGGCUAGUAUGAAUGGUCUAACAUGUUAACAACUUUAUUAAUAAGUUUUCUUAAAACUAUCUUGAGAGUAAGAAGACUCCCAUUCUUUAGGGGGACGACAAGACCCUGUCGAACUUUACUUUAAGUUGGGCUGGGGCGGCCUUAAACAAAUUCUUUUUAUUCCUUCUAUAAUAAUCCCUGAUCAGGAUCAACCAAGUUACCGCAGGGAUAACAGCAUAAUUUUUUCCUAGAGUUCGUAUCUAAGAAAAAGAUUGUGACCUCGAUGUUGAAUUAAUAUUCUAUUAGAGGCAAGACUCUAAUAAGAAAGUCUGUUCGACUUUUAAAUAAUUACAUGAUUUGAGUUCAGACCGGCGUAAGCCAGGUCGGUUUCUAUCUUCA
rnacentral:rRNA from 1 species